rnacentral:rRNA from 1 species
UACGGGGGGAGCAAGCGUUGUUCGGAUUUACUGGGCGUAAAGGGCGCGUAGGCGGCCAGCACAAGUCAGUUGUGAAAUCUCCGAGCUUAACUCGGAAAGGUCAACUGAUACUGUGCGGCUAGAGUGCAGAAGGGGCAACUGGAAUUCUUGGUGUAGCGGUGAAAUGCGUAGAUAUCAAGAGGAACACCUGCGGCGAAGGCGGGUUGCUGGGCUGACACUGACGCUGAGGCGCGAAAGCGUGGGGAGCAAACAGG